AGACUCCGUACGGGAGGCAGCAGUGGGGAAUAUUGCACAAUGGGCGAAAGCCUGAUGCAGCGACGCCGCGUGAGCGAAGAAAGUAUUUCGGUAUGUAAAGCUCUAUCAGCAGGGAAGAUAAUGACGGUACCUGACUAAGAAGCACCGGCUAAAUACGUGC
rnacentral:rRNA from 1 species